rnacentral:rRNA from 1 species
UACAGAGGGGGCUAGCGUUGUUCGGAAUUACUGGGCGUAAAGGGCGCGUAGGCGGCCCGCUAAGUCGAACGUGAAAUCCCCGGGCUCAACCCGGGAACUGCGUCCGAUACUGGCAGGCUUGAAUCCGGGAGAGGGAUGUGGAAUUCCAGGUGUAGCGGUGAAAUGCGUAGAUAUCUGGAGGAACACCGGUGGCGAAGGCGGGUCUCUGGGCCGAUACUGACGCUGAGGAGCGAAAGCGUGGGGAGCAAACAGG